AAUGAACGCUGGCGGCGUGGUUAAGACAUGCAAGUCGAACGGUUUUUUCAGUGUAGCAAUACAUUGAAAAAGCAGUGGCGAACGGGUGCGUAACACGUGAACAAUCUACCUUCAAAUGGGGAAUAGCUCGGCGAAAGCCGGAUUAAUACCGCAUGUGGUCGGGACUCUCCUGAGUCCCAAACUAAAGUCAGGGACCGCAAGGCCUGACGUUUGAAGAGGAGUUCGCGGCCUAUCAGCAGUUGGCGAGGUAACGGCUCACCAAGGCUAAGACGGGUAGCUGGUCUGAGAGGAUGGCCAGCCACAUUGGGACUGAGAGACGGGCCCAGACUCCUACGGGAGGCAGCAGUGGGGAAUCUUGCGCAAUGGCCGAAAGGCUGACGCAGCGACGCCGCGUGGGGGGAGGAAGGCC
rnacentral:rRNA from 1 species